rnacentral:rRNA from 1 species
GAUUAACGCUAGCGGCAGGCAUAAUACAUGCAAGUUGAACGGCAGCACAGGUAGCACUACUGGGUGGCGAGUGGCGCACGGGUGCGUAACACGUAUGCAACCUACCCUAUACAGGCGGAUAACCUUUAGAAAUGAGGGCUAAUACGCCGUAGUAUUACAGAUGGGCAUCUAUUUGUAAUUAAAGAUUUAUCGGUAUAGGAUGGGCAUGCGUCCCAUUAGUUAGUUGGUAAGGUAACGGCUUACCAAGACGAUGAUGGGUAGGGGAUCUGAGAGGACUUACCCCCACACUGGUACUGAGACACGGACCAGACUCCUACGGGAGGCAGCAGUAAGGAAUAUUGGGCAAUGGCCGCGAGGCUGACCCAGCCAUGCCGCGUGCAGGAAGACGGCCUUAUGGGUUGUAAACUGCUUUUAUACGGGAAUAAUAGAGUGUACGCGUACAUUUAUGCAAGUAUCGUAUGAAUAAGCAUCGGCUAACUCCGUG